UACCAGCACCCCGAGUGGUCGGGACGUUUAUUGGGCCUAAAGCCUCCGUAGCCGGUUCUACAAGUCUUCCGUUAAAUCCACCUGCUUAACAGAUGGGCUGCGGAAGAUACUAUAGAGCUAGGAGGCGGGAGAGGCAAGCGGUACUCGAUGGAUAGGGGUAAAAUCCGUUGAUCCAUUGAAGACCACCAGUGGCGAAGGCGGCUUGCCAGAACGCGCUCGACGGUGAGGGAUGAAAGCUGGGGGAGCAAACCGG
rnacentral:rRNA from 1 species